rnacentral:rRNA from 1 species
GACGAACGCUGACAGAAUGCUUAACACAUGCAAGUCGACUUGAAUUUGGGUUUUUUAACGUAGUUUUGGGUGGCGGACGGGUGAGUAACGCGUAAAGAACUUGCCUCACAGCUAGGGACAACAUUUGGAAACGAAUGCUAAUACCUGAUAUUAUGAUUAUAAGGCAUCUUAGAAUUAUGAAAGCUAUAUGCGCUGUGAGAGGGCUUUGGGUCCCAUUAGCUAGUUGGAGGGGUAACGGCUCACCAAGGCGAUGAUGGGUACCCGGCCUGAGAGGGUGAACGGCCACAAGGGGACGGGGACAGGGCCCUUACGCCUACGGGAGGCAGCAGUGGGGAAUAUGGAACAAUGGACCAAGAGUCUGAUCGAGCAAUUCUGUGUGCACGAUGACGUUUUGCGGAAUGUAAAGUGCUUUCAGUUGGGAAGAAGAAAAUGACGGUACCAACAGAAGAAGUGACGGCUAAAUACGUG